rnacentral:rRNA from 1 species
AGUGAACGCUGGCGGUAGGCCUAACACAUGCAAGUCGAACGGCAGCACAGGAGAGCUUGCUCUCUGGGUGGCGAGUGGCGGACGGGUGAGGAAUACAUCGGAAUCUACCUUGUCGUGGGGGAUAACGUAGGGAAACUUACGCUAAUACCGCAUACGAACCUCGGGUGAAAGUGGGGGCACGAAAGGCCUCACGCGAUGAGAUGAGACCAUGUCGGAUUAGCUAGUUGGCGGGGUAAAAGCCCACCAAGGCGACGAUCCGUAGCUGGUCUGAGAGGAUGAUCAGCCACACUGGAACUGAGACACGGUCCAGACUCCUACGGGAGGCAGCAGUGGGGAAUAUUGGACAAUGGGCGCAAGCCUGAUCCAGCCAUACCGCGUGGGUGAAGAAGGCCUUCGGGUUGUAAAGCCCUUUUGUUGGGAAAGAAAUCUUGCCGGUUAAUACCUGGCGAGGAUGACGGUACCCAAAGAAUAAGCACCGGCUAACUUCGUGCCAGCAGCCGCCGUAAUAC